UAAAAAGCUACAGUUAACAUAAAAAUAUAGCACGAAAGUAACUUUAACACCUCCGACCACACGAUAGCGAAGACCCAAACGGGGAUUAGAUACCCCACUAUGCUUAGCCCUAAACUUACAUAGUUAUUAUA